rnacentral:rRNA from 2 species
UGAUGGAGCGACNCAGCGUGCACGAUGAAGGUCUUCGGAUUGUAAAGUGCUGUUAUAGGGAAAGAACACCUGGUUGAGGAAAUGGUUCCAGGCUGACGGCACCCUGACAGAAAGGGAUGGCUAACUAUGUGGCCAGCAGGCGCGGAAAUACAUAGGUCGCAAGCGGUAUCCGGAAUUAUUGGGGCGAAAGGGUUCGUAGGGUGUUUAUUAAGUCUGGAGUCAAAUCCCAGGGCUCAACCCUGGUUCGCUUUGGAUACUGGUAAACUAGAAGGUAAAUAGAGGUAAACGGAAUUCCAUGUGAAGCGGUGAAAUGGGUAAAUAUAUGGAAGAACACCAAAUGGGAAGGCAGCUUACUGGGUCUAUACUGACACUGAGGGACGAAAGCGUGGGGAGCAAACAGGAUUAGAUACCCUGGUAGUCCACGCCGUAAACGAUGAUCAUUAGUCUGGUGGAGAGUUCACUGACGCAGCUAACGCAUUAAAUGAUCCGCCUGAGGAGUAUGCUCGCAAGAGUGAAACUUAAAGGAAUUGACGGGGACCCGCCCAAGCGGNGGAGCAUGUGGUUUAAUUUGAAGAUACGCGGAGAACCUUACCCACUCUUGACAUCCUUCGCAAUGCUAUAGAGAUAUANNGGAGGAUAACGGAGUGACAGAUGGUGCAUGGUUGUCGUCAGCUCGUGUCGUGAGAUGUUUGGUCAAGUCCUGCAACGAGCGCAACCCCUAUCUUUAGUUACUCACCAUCAUGUCGAGGACUCUAGAGAUACUGCCUGGGUAACUGGGAGGAAGGUGGGGAUGACGUCAAAUCAUCAUGCCUCUUACGAGUGGGGCUACACACGUGCUACAAUGGUCGGUACAAAGAGAGCAAUCAAUAUGGUGACAUGGAGCAAAUCUCAAAAA